rnacentral:rRNA from 1 species
UACGAAGGGGGCUAGCGUUGUUCGGAUUUACUGGGCGUAAAGCGCACGUAGGCGGAUUGUUAAGUCGGGGUGAAAUCCUGGAGCUCAACUCCAGAACUGCCUUCGAUACUGGCAAUCUCGAGUCCGGAAGAGGUAAGUGGAACUCCUAGUGUAGAGGUGGAAUUCGUAGAUAUUAGGAAGAACACCAGUGGCGAAGGCGGCUUACUGGUCCGGUACCUGACGCUGAGGUGCGAAAGCGUGGGGAGCAAACAGG